GCCCGCAUGGCUCAGUGGUAGAGCGUGUCACUAGUAGAAUCCCCGAGGACCGGGGUUCUUCUGGGUCAAUGACAAGGUCGUCAGUUCGAUUCUGGCUGUGGGCA